CCUACGGGAGGCAGCAGUGAGGAAUAUUGGUCAAUGGACGAGAGUCUGAACCAGCCAAGUAGCGUGAAGGAUGACUGCCCUAUGGGUUGUAAACUUCUUUUAUAUGGGAAUAAAAUGUUCCACGUGUGGGAUUUUGUAUGUACCAUAUGAAUAAGGAUCGGCUAACUCCGUGCCAGCAGCCGCGGUAAUACGGAGGAUCCGAGCGUUAUCCGGAUUUAUUGGGUUUAAAGGGAGCGUAGGUGGAUUGUUAAGUCAGUUGUGAAAGUUUGCGGCUCAACCAUAAAAUUGCAGUUGAAACUGGCAGUCUUGAGUACAGUAGAGGUGGGCGGAAUUCGUGGUGUAGCGGUGAAAUGCUUAGAUAUCACGAAGAACUCCGAUUGCGAAGGCAGUUCACUGGACUGCAACUGACACUGAGGCACGAAAGCGUGGGUAUCAAACAGGAUUAGAUACCCUUGUAGUC
rnacentral:rRNA from 1 species